rnacentral:lncRNA from 1 species
CUUAUUACAAGCAGCGAGAGGAAUUAAAUAUGCUUGUCACCACACACGCGCGGGCACAGAUGCACGACAUACAUAUAGUUGACACCAACAGAUGGAUUGACUAGAGGUGGUCCCAUAUGGUGAACAAUUUAUUGGAGAUAAACAUUAACAUAACUUUGGCCAUAGCUUGAAGCAUAGCAACAUAUGCCUAUGAAUGGCAUUCAUGCUAUCGUUUUAGGCUUGUCCAUCGUCCAUGUUAGCAAGCACUCCCAUUUCUUCCAUCUUAGCAGCAACUGUCAAAUUGAGAUAUGGAAAUCCUAUUAGUGCAUGAGUUAAUUUUUCAGUGGAAAUGGAGUACAAGAUGUCUUCAUGAUGUAAGUAAUAUGCCUGAAGUUGUGAGAUGGGAAGUGAAGUCAACAAAUUACAUUAACAGAAAUGCAUGGAAGGCCACACAUAUGUAUUAGUCCACGAUAUGCUACAAAGCUUGUAUGUACAUAUAACAAAUUAAAUGCAUUGAAUAGAGUGAGUUUCGUGAAUUUACCAGAAUCGGACAGAACACAUGGGAAACAACAAGUGGUCUUGCAAAGUGAGUCGGAGCCACCUGCAGUAAUACAAGCAAAACAACAUGCUUUUGACCGAGCGGAUGCGCAGCAGCUGCACUGUGCCGCGGUGGCCGGGUUAACAUUGAGGCUCAAGAUGACCAGGCACAUGAUCACCAUCAAAGCGGUGGCAGUCCUCUUUCCCUCCAUUGCCUCCUCUUGCUGCUACCUUCCUUGGUUACCUAGCUAAGUUUAUUGGUUAUUUGUUGAG